rnacentral:rRNA from 1 species
UGCGGAAGGAUCAUUACCGAGUU